GCAUCAGUCCUCCCACUGGAGUGACCGCCGUGUCUCCUCGGCCCCUAUGCAGGCCAAUUCCAAGCGGUGUGUGGGUUGGUUGUGAUUAGAACAGAACCUUCCCAGAAUNGGAAUUCUAGGAGACCAUAAUGCUUUUUGCACACCGGGAGCCUUUGCAAGAGAGAGAGAAAAGAUGGCAAAGGUCAUCUGGGAAAUGUUGACCGCCAGGGACACCCGGGCCAGCCAGGACCCAGAGGUUUGCCUGGCCUGGAUGGCUGUAAUGGUACCAUUGGGAAUCCUGGUGUCCCAGGACCAGAUGGAUUUCCUGGCAUAGUGGGGCCUCCGGGCCGUCCUGGUCCNAAAGGGCCAAAAGGUGACUCCUCUUACAUCCAGGGAGCUAUUAAAGGAAUGAAGGGGGAAAGUGGCCUUCCUGGCCUGGAUGGUCCUGCUGGCCGUAAAGGUUUACGAGGCCUCCCAGGGCCUGUUGGACCUGCAGGAUUACCUGGCUUUCUGGGACCACCAGGUCCACCUGGCCCCCCAGGUCCUGUGGGUAGCAGUGGCCUGGUUUUCCAUGGAGAAAAAGGAGAAAAGGGAGAUGUUGGACUUCCUGGACCGGCUGGUCCCCCACCUUCCACUGGGAUAUUAGAAUUCAUGGGUUUUCCUAAAGGGCAACAAGGAGCAAAGGUUUGUCUNCUCCAUAUUAUUAACAUGGUGGGGGACAUGGGGAGCAGA
rnacentral:lncRNA from 1 species